rnacentral:rRNA from 1 species
AACGAACGCUGGCGGCGUGCUUAACACAUGCAAGUCGAACGUGAAGGGGGGGCUUGCUCCCCUGGAAAGUGGCGCGCGGGUGAGUAACGCGUGGAUAACCUACCCUGGUAUCCGGGAUAACAUCUCGAAAGGGGUGCUAAUACGGGAUAAGCCCACGGGGACUUCGGUCUUUGCGGGAAAAGGUGGCCUCUGCAUAUGCUACCGUAUCAGGCUGGGUCCGCGUACCAUUAGCUAGUUGGUAGGGUAACGGCCUACCAAGGCGACGAUGGUUAGCUGGUCUGAGAGGAUGAUCAGCCACACUGGAAAUGGGACACUGUCCAGACUCCUACGGGAGGCAGCAGUGGGGAAUUUUGCGCAAUGGGGGAAACCCUGACGCAGCAACGCCGCGUGAGUGAUGAAGGCUUUCGGGUCGUAAAGCUCUGUCAGGGGGAAAGAAGUGUAUUAUGGCUAAUAUCCAUGAUACUUGACGGUACCCCCAAAGGAAGCACCGGCUAACUCCGUGCCAGCAGCCGCCGUAACAC